AUUGAACGCUGGCGGCAGGCUUAACACAUGCAAGUCGAGCGAGUGGCGGACGGGUGAGUAAUGUAUGGGGACUGCCCGAUAGAGGGGGAUAACUACUGGAAACGGUGGCUAAUACCGCAUACUAUCGGAUAACCCAUAUUGGAUUAGCUAGUUGGUAGGGUAAAGGCUCACCUAGGCGACGAUCCGUAGCUGGUUUGAGAGGAUGACCAGCCACACUGGGACUGAGACACGGCCCAGACUCCUACGGAGGCAGCAGUGGGGAAUUUUGCACAAUGGGCGCAAGCCUGAUGCAGCCAUCCCGCGUGUAUGAAGAAGGCCUUAGGGUUGUAAAGUACUUUCGGCAGAGAGGCGUUAUCCGCAGAAGAAGCACCGGCUAACUCCGUGCCAGCAGCCGCGGUAAUUC
rnacentral:rRNA from 1 species